rnacentral:rRNA from 1 species
CUAUCCAACCUUCCGUACACUCAGGGAUAGCCUUUCGAAAGAAAGAUUAAUACCUGAUGGUAUGACGAGAUUGCAUGAUAGCAUCAUUAAAGAUUUAUCGGUGUACGAUGGGGAUGCGUUCCAUUAGGUAGUAGGCGGGGUAACGGCCCACCUAGCCAACGAUGGAUAGGGGUUCUGAGAGGAAGGUCCCCCACAUUGGAACUGAGACACGGUCCAAACUCCUACGGGAGGCAGCAGUGAGGAAUAUUGGUCAAUGGACGAGAGUCUGAGCCAGCCAAGUAGCGUGAAGGAUGAAGGUCUUACGGAUUGUAAACUUCUUUUAUAUGGGAAUAAACCCUCCCACGUGUGGGAGCUUGUAUGUACCUUAUGAAUAAGCAUCGGCUAACUCCGUGCCAGCAGCCGCGGUAAUACGGAGGAUGCGAGCGUUAUCCGGAUUUAUUGGGUUUAAAGGGAGCGCAGACGGGUCGUUAAGUCAGCUGUGAAAGUUUGGGGCUCAACCUUAAAAUUGCAGUUGAUACUGGCGUCCUUGAGUGCGGUUGAGGUGUGCGGAAUUCGUGGUGUAGCGGUGAAAUGCUUAGAUAUCACGAAGAACUCCGAUUGCGAAGGCAGCACACUAAUCCGUAACUGACGUUCAUGCUCGAAAGUGUGGGUAUCAAACAGGAUUAGAUACCCUGGUAGUCCACACGGUAAACGAUGGAUACUCGCUGUUGGCGAUAUACUGUCAGCGGCUUAGCAAAAGCGUUAAGUAUCCCACCUGGGGAGUACGCCGGCAA